rnacentral:rRNA from 1 species
UACGGGGGAUGCAAGCGUUAUCCGGAUUUAUUGGGUUUAAAGGGUGCGUAGGCUGUGAGGUAAGUCAGCGGUGAAAUGCCCCCGCUCAACGGGGUGAAGUGCCAUUGAUACUGCCUUGCUGGAAUGCGGAUGCCGUGGGAGGAAUGUGUGGUGUAGCGGUGAAAUGCAUAGAUAUCACACAGAACACCGAUUGCGAAGGCAUCUCACGAAUCCGCGAUUGACGCUGAUGCACGAAAGCGUGGGUAGCAAACAGG